UUAAUAUAUUUAGAGAAAAGGCAGUGUUUACAUUGCUGCCUAGGAACACCUCUAGUAGUAGUCGCUCAGACAGCCACUAGAGGUGCUUCCUGUGUCAGUGCUGCACCUACAUUCAGGAUCUCUACACGCUGCAUGAAGACAUUGGAUGAUCUCAGCCAUGGAGGCAGGGCUAGCCGCAGUGAGACAGGCAUGGCAUGGGAGAAAAGGUGAGUAAAAACUCACAUUUCAGUGCAAUCUGAGUGGGGCCCGGGGGACCUAAACAGAUAUACCAGGACUAUACUGUCAAGAAUAUAUGUUUGUAUUCCUGACACCAUAGUGUUCCU